rnacentral:rRNA from 1 species
GACGAACGCUGGCGGCGUGCCUAAUACAUGCAAGUAGAACGCUGAAGAGAGGAGCUUGCUCUUCUUGGAUGAGUUGCGAACGGGUGAGUAACGCGUAGGUAACCUGCCUUGUAGCGGGGGAUAACUAUUGGAAACGAUAGCUAAUACCGCAUAACAAUAGGUGACACAUGUCAUUUAUUUGAAAGGGGCAAUUGCUCCACUACAAGAUGGACCUGCGUUGUAUUAGCUAGUAGGUGAGGUAACGGCUCACCUAGGCGACGAUACAUAGCCGACCUGAGAGGGUGAUCGGCCACACUGGGACUGAGACACGGCCCAGACUCCUACGGGAGGCAGCAGUAGGGAAUCUUCGGCAAUGGGGGCAACCCUGACCGAGCAACGCCGCGUGAGUGAAGAAGGUUUUCGGAUCGUAAAGCUCUGUUGUAAGUCAAGAACGAGUGUGAGAGUGGAAAGUUCACACUGUGACGGUAGCUUACCAGAAAGGGACGGCUAACUACGUGCCGGCAGCCGCGGUAAUACGUAGGUCCCGAGCGUUGUCCGGAUUUAUUGGGCGUAAAGCGAGCGCAGGCGGUUUGAUAAGUCUGAAGUUAAAGGCUGUGGCUCAACCAUAGUUCGCUUUGGAAACUGUCAAACUUGAGUGCAGAAGGGGAGAGUGGAAUUCCAUGUGUAGCGGUGAAAUGCGUAGAUAUAUGGAGGAACACCGGUGGCGAAAGCGGCUCUCUGGUCUGUAACUGACGCUGAGGCUCGAAAGCGUGGGGAGCGAACAGGAUUAGAUACCCUGGUAGUCCACGCCGUAAACGAUGAGUGCUAGGUGUUGGAUCCUUUCCGGGAUUCAGUGCCGCAGCUAACGCAUUAAGCACUCCGCCUGGGGAGUACGACCGCAAGGUUGAAACUCAAAGGAAUUGACGGGGGCCCGCACAAGCGGUGGAGCAUGUGGUUUAAUUCGAAGCAGCGCGAAGAACCUUACCAGGUCUUGACAUCCCGAUGCUAUUUCUAGAGAUAGAAAGUUACUUCGGUACAUCGGUGACAGGUGGUGCAUGGUUGUCGUCAGCUCGUGUCGUGAGAUGUUGGGUUAAGUCCCGCAACGAGCGCAACCCCUAUUGUUAGUUGCCAUCAUUCAGUUGGGCACUCUAGCGAGACUGCCGGUAAUAAACCGGAGGAAGGUGGGGAUGACGUCAAAUCAUCAUGCCCCUUAUGACCUGGGCUACACACGUGCUACAAUGGUUGGUACAACGAGUUGCGAGUCGGUGACGGCAAGCUAAUCUCUUAAAGCCAAUCUCAGUUCGGAUUGUAGGCUGCAACUCGCCUACAUGAAGUCGGAAUCGCUAGUAAUCGCGGAUCAGCACGCCGCGGUGAAUACGUUCCCGGGCCU